CCGGCGCACGGUGAGUAACGCGUAUGCAACUUGCCUAUCAGGAGGGGAGAACCGGCGAAAGUCGGACUAAUACCGCAUGAAGCAGGGGCCCCGCAUGGGGAUAUUUGCUAAAGAUUCAUCGCUGAUAGAUAGGCAUGCGUUCCAUUAGGCAGUUGGCGGGGUAACGGCCCACCAAACCGACGAUGGAUAGGGGUUCUGAGAGGAAGGUCCCCCACAUUGGAACUGAGACACGGUCCAA
rnacentral:rRNA from 1 species